rnacentral:misc_RNA from 1 species
CCUAAAGUGAACAUUACAUUUCAUGUACAAUCAGCAAACCACCUUUGAUAUUCUUUUCCUUUUUCAUUGAAUAUGAAAAAUAAAAUCAACUGGAAAUACUUGACAAAAAAAAAAAAAGUAUACUGCUCAACUAUUGAAUACAUUUUGACUUUGAAAUUCACCCAUCAAUUAACAAGGGGUUCCAUUUUAGUAAAUUAGCCGCAACUUGUACACACAUAGCUGAUAGUAUGCAGGUCACAAGAAGCAAACUUGUGAAACUUUUAAAUGUGAAGCAGUCUCUUCCCAUAACAGAUGACAGUGAUGCAUAUUCUUAGUGAUACACUUUAUUGAACAAACUAAAUAUGUUAUUUGCUUGCUAGGGUGUAAUCCUAAAUCCUCUCUUCUAGUGUGAUUUUCUAUAUUUCUCUUUUUUCUAUUCUCUUGCUCCUUCAACAACUUCAUCUUUCCUUUCAUCUAGAUGAAUACUGCGCAGACGUUUAUGAUAUCUGUUCCUAAUAUGAUUUAUAGUGAUACAAAUUAUGUCACUGGGGCCAAAGAAACCGAUACAUUCAACAUUGAUCCGAAUUUUAAAGUGAAUCCUGUCAACUAUGCCUUCCAGGGGAUUUCUCAAAACUUCAGGGAGAGACUUUAAGACAACUUGCAUCCACAUCUAUCAUUUUUCUUCUACCCCUUUUAAUUGGCAGAAUUUGCAGCUAUGACCUACACUACUGCAUCCCAUCAACUUAUCUAUCUUUCUAACACACCCACCAUCUCACCAAUUUAGAUGUUUUUAGGUAAUUUUCCUACUAAAAAUUUUUUGGCCAAGAUAAUUCAGAAUUACAUUUUGACCAAAUGACAUUGAAACUACAUGAUAUGUCAAUCCUGCCACAUCUUUAUA